rnacentral:rRNA from 1 species
UGGGGAAUAUUGCACAAUGGGCGCAAGCCUGAUGCAGCCAUGCCGCGUGUAUGAAGAAGGCCUUCGGGUUGUAAAGUACUUUCAGCGGGGAGGAAGGUGUUGUGGUUAAUAACCACAGCAAUUGACGUUACCCGCAGAAGAAGCACCGGCUAACUCCGUGCCAGCAGCCGCGGUAAUACGGAGGGUGCAAGCGUUAAUCGGCAUUACUGGGCGUAAAGCGCACGCAGGCGGUCUGUCAAGUCGGAUGUGAAAUCCCCGGGCUCAACCUGGGAACUGCAUCCGAAACUGGCAGGCUUGAGUCUUGUAGAGGGGGGUAGAAUUCCAGGUGUAGCGGUGAAAUGCGUAGAGAUCUGGAGGAAUACCGGUGGCGAAGGCGGCCCCCUGGACAAAGACUGACGCUCAGGUGCGAAAGCGUGGGGAGCAAACA